rnacentral:lncRNA from 1 species
AGCUCCUUAUAUAUGGCGGGGCUGUGACCCCGUCAAGCUACUCAUUGAUGUAGCUUUUUGUGAGUGCUCCUUUCUUUCUUGGAAAGACAAAUAAAGCAAAUCAAAUCAAAUCAA